rnacentral:rRNA from 1 species
CCUACGGGAGGCAGCAGUGAGGAAUAUUGGUCAAUGGGCGCGAGCCUGAACCAGCCAAGUAGCGUGAAGGAUGACUGCCCUACGGGUUGUAAACUUCUUUUAUAAAGGAAUAAAGUGAGGCACGUGUGCCUUUUUGUAUGUACUUUAUGAAUAAAGAUCGGCUAACUCCGUGCCACCAGCCGCGGUAAUACGGAGGAACCGAGCAUUAUCCGGAUUUAUUGGGUUUAAAGGGAGCGUAGAUGGGUUGUUAAGUCAGGUGGGAAAGUUUGCGGCUCAAACGUAAAAUUGCAAUUGAUACUGGCAGACUGUAGUAAAGUUGAGGUAGGCGGAAUUCGUGGUGUAGCGGUGAAAUGCUUAGAUAUCACGAAGAACUCCGAUUGCGAAGGCAGCCUACUAAACGGCAACUGACAUUGAUGCUCGAAAGUGUGGGUAUCAAACAGGAUUAGAUACCUCUGUAGUC